GAGGGCAUAGCUCAGUGGUAGAGUGCGUGCUCAGCAUGCACGACGCCCUGGGUUCAAUCCCCAGUCCCCCCA
rnacentral:tRNA from 1 species